rnacentral:tRNA from 1 species
AAGAGUACAAAGCUUACAAAAGCAACUAACUGUUAAUUAGAAGAUUGCGAGUUACCCAUUAUCGCUUACUCU